CCCACCCUGAAAACUUUUAAAGUUGAGAUUCUUUUCAUGUUUGUCAUUUAGGCCUCUCUGUGAAUUACUUGGUCAUAUCCUUUGAGUAAUUAUCUUUGAGUGUUUUUCUUACAAGUUUUAGGCAUAUUGAUAAAUUCUGAGUCCUAAUCCUUGUAUAUGCAUGACAGAUGUUUUUUCCAGUUUAUGGUUUGUCUUUUAUUAUAACUUUUAAAGUUUUAAAUUUAUGUAUUUAUUAUGAAUGGGUAAUAUGUUCACAUGAAUCAAAAAUCCAGAAAGUACAAAAAGAGCCUACAGUGAAAAUUUCUCUCCCACUCCUGUUCUUUCACCCAGUUCUGUUCUUCAGAGGCACCAUGACUUACUUCAUUUUUAAGAACUUAAUUUAUAAUGUCAUUUGUUGAACAGAACAGUUAAAAAAAUUUAAGGUAGUUAAAUAUGUCCGUCUUUACUUUGUGGAUUAUACUUUUUAUGUCUUGUUUCAGAAAUCUUCCCUCUGCUUCAUGUAUUUAUUCUUCUGUACUGUGUUCCACGCAAAGUUUCGCUUUUCAGAUUUAGAUCUUUAUUCUGUCUGGAAUUUAUUUUUUGUGAACGACAUGAGGUCAGGAUCACCCUUCCCUUCAUACUGUAAACCUACUAGUCUUUAUGCUUUUAUAUUAGGUGACAGUUUCAUCUAAUACAACUUUCAGUGUGAUAGGAGACUGCCAUUGAGCUUCAUCUACAUGUUGGCAAAUAUAAUUAACUGGCCCCCGUGUUUUAUUUGUUUUGUUCCUACUGCAGACUAGUGCUUAGAGUCCUAAUAAGUACUGCCUUUCAGGCCCCAUAAUGUGCCCUUGUGUCCUCUAACAUGUCUGGAAUUUGUGUAGGCUGGGACGGGGCAGGGAAAGGAGGGUUUCUUUGUCACAACAAACAAGGAGAAAGCUUUUUUCCUGUCUCUUCGAUUUACCAAUGCCUCAUCAGAAGCUUUCAGCACUUAUUGAUGCCAUCUGCAAUUUUGUUAUCUGCAAUGACUCUUCCCUUCGAAGUCAGCCCGUUAUCUUCAAUCCUGACUUUUUUGUGGAGAAACUCCGGCAUGAGAAACCAGAGGUGUUCACCGAGUUAGUGGUCAGCAAUAUCACAAGGCUCAUCGAUUUACCUGGAACUGAGUUGGCUCAGCUGAUGGGAGAAGUGGACCUUAAGUUGCCUGGCGGGGCCGGCCCGGCAUCAGGAUUCUUCCGGUCUCUAAUGUCUCUCAAGCGAAAGGAAAAAGAAGUAAUAUUUGGAUCCCCACUGACAGAAGAAGGCAUUGCCCAGAUAUACCAACUGAUUGAAUAUCUACACAAAAACUUGCGAGUAGAGGGUUUGUUUAGAGUACCAGGGAAUAGUGUCCGACAGCAGAUUUUAAGGGAUGCUCUCAAUAAUGGAACUGAUAUCGACUUGGAAUCAGGGGAGUUUCACUCAAACGAUGUUGCCACCUUGCUGAAGAUGUUUCUAGGGGAGUUACCUGAGCCCCUGCUGACACAUAAGCAUUUCCAUGUACACCUCAAAAUUGCUGAUUUGAUGCAGUUUGAUGAUAAAGGAAACAAGACCAACGUACCAGAUAAGGAGCGGCAAAUUGAGGCUCUUCAGUUGCUCUUCCUCAUUCUCCCUCCACCCAAUCGUAACUUGCUGAAGCUCUUGCUUGAUCUCCUGUACCAGACAGCAAAGAAACAAGACAAGAAUAAGAUGUCUGCCUAUAACCUUGCCCUUAUGUUUGCGCCCCAUGUUUUGUGGCCAAAAAAUGUCACUGCAAAUGACCUUCAAGAGAAUAUCACCAAGUUAAACAACGGGAUGGCUUUUAUGAUUAAACAUUCCCAGAAACUUUUUAAGGCUCCUGCUUACAUUCGGGAAUGUGCUCGAUUGCACUAUUUGGGUUCCAGAACUCAAGCAUCAAAGGAUGAUCUUGAUCUGACAGCUUCGUGUCAUACCAGGUCCUUCCAACUAGCAAGAUCUCAGAAACGAAACCGGGUAGAUUCCUGCUCUCAACAGGAGGAGACCCAGCAGCGUACGGAAGAGGCUCUAAGAGAGUUGUUCCAGCACGUUCACAAUAUGCCGGAGUCAGCAAAGAAGAAACAGCUUAUCAAACAGUUUAAUAAGCAUUCUGGGACCCAAACACCAGGACGAGAGCCAGCUACUCCGCGAGUACAGAAGCGGGUCCGUUCACGGUCCUUCAGUGGCCUUAUCAAGCGGAAGGUCCUGGGAAAUCAGAUGAUGUCAGAAAAGAAAAACGAGUGCCCUACUCCGGAGUCGGUAGCCUUUGGUGAAUUGAAGAGGGCUAGCAAAGAAAAUAUGAACUUAUUAUUUUCUGGCUCUCCAGCUGUCAUGGUGACACCAACAAGACUGAAAUUGCCUGAGGGGAAGAAAGAGGGGAAAAAAGGUAUUAAUUCCUAAGAUGCCCCUCAAAGGAUCCAGAGUGUUCCUGUGGUCCACCCAGAAUGUUCUCUUUUGUGGGCCGGGUGCCCACAGAACAACUUGGACUUGCAGCUUGCUUGCUGCAUUUUGAAUUGUGAAAGCCAACUAAUCCUGUGACUUGACUGAUACCUCUAACCCACUCAGUGGGUGAUGUGUGCAGACUCUGCCCGCUGAACCAGUGCUACCGACGCUUCUCUUUUAAAAAGAUGUUAUGGGGAGACCACUAACCUGCCAGACCCGCUUGCACAGCCCAGUAAAUAAGUAGAACCAGGCAGACUCCAGUGCUCAUUCCCUGUGUUUGAUUAGGCAGAUUCUAUUUUUAAAAAAUUUGAAAUUUGUGCUUAAUUGCCAGUGAUUUAAAAAAAAAAAAUACUGUCAAUCCUAGUGGAUUGAUGUUCUGUUUAACUGAUUGAUUGGGCUUUUCUCUGGUGUGAGAGCCUUGGGGGAUAUUUUGGUUACUGUGUCUUGUUUUCUUGUUGUUUGUUUAUUUUUUUAAAGGCCAUUUUUUUUGGGGGGGGGGGUAGGUAAUCGAAAUGGGCUCUAAGCCAGAUGUGUCUUUCCUCUCUUUCACCUUAUGCUUUAGGAAAGCUCCUUAUCUUACAAGACUGUAUUCCUCGAUACCUCUUUGUGCCCAAAGACACGAGUAUGGCUUUCUGGGACACUUUUAAUUAUUUCUUGGGCCUGAGAUUGCAGGGUAUUUGGCCUGCAGUAUUGAAAAAAGGAGGAUUCAGAAUGAUACAACAUUUUAACCAAUAGCAUUAAGCCGUGUCCCGCCUUCCCUCCAUCCUCUCUCCCUGCUCCUCGUCCCUUUUCCUUGGCGAGGUCAGAGUAGUUGUGUGAUUGCUGAGCUUGUUUCCCUCAUGCAGUCGCCUCUCACCUAAAACAUCUCUAGUGCCAGUGUGGGUACCCGUACUUCUGGGCCAAAUCACUGUGCCUCAUGGAACGUCACCAACAGCGAAGCAGAGGUUUGCGCAAGUACCCGUAUGUAUGUGGUGGAAGCUCUGGAGUGGGACGAGGGUGAGGCUGGCUUAUGUCCAGGACGACUCCUGAUGGCUGGGACUCCAGUGCAUCCUUCUAAGGGAUCAGGGGUGCCGGCUGGACCGUCUCCCGAGUGCAGGCUGGAGGAGAGGCUGGUAGCGAGCCUCCGCCUGAGUGGGGCUGGGAGAUGAAAGGAGACAGCGUUCUCCUUCGGAAGCAGUGUGGCUUAUCACCAGCGCUCGAGGGCGGUUGCUGCACCAUCCCCUCUUCUUGUCACCGUGGGCACGGGGAGUAGCUGGAGACGGCUGGAGCCUUGACUGGGUUGGGGAUGUUCACAUGUGUUCGAGGUGAGCGACGGCAUGGCUUUGAUCCGGUGUGAGGCCUCACUGCCGGGAGCAGCAGGGGCGCGUGGGCACGCUGGUUGUGCCUGCUCUGUUGUGGGUGUGACCGGCUCACCCGGCUUGCCGGAGCCGAGUCAGGCCUCAGUGGGGAGGCAGUUGCCCAGCAAACACCGACUGGAGGCCCUAGUUCUGAACUGUCGAAAUGCUGUGUUAUUGCCGAAGCAAAAAACGGCUUCUGGGCGAGUCCAGGGUGGUUUUCCAUCUGAGUGUCGGUCUCUCUUCCGUACUUUCUGUUUCUUCUGCUGCUGUAACAGUGGUAGUGGAGGAAAAACGUAAAAUUUGGCUGUCCAGCUUGAUAGGGUAUGAACAAUGGAGGGUCAGGAGUAUAAAACUGCUUAGAAGCCCCUUUCUCUGGAGUGGUUUUAUAUCCUUCUUAAAAUUACUUUUAGCAAGUUCCUUUGUCUAGGUUUCUAUUAGACUUUUUUCCCUUAUAGAAUUCCUUAUAUCAGCUGUCAGUGAGUUCAAACAGAAACUCUUUUGGGUAUGACCAGGCUAAAGCAGUGUUCUCCCUUAACUUGAUGCUCACUUACUUUAUUUGUCUGUCUCAUCCUGGAGUGCUGUGGUCUAUUGAACUUGGUCUGGCCUAUGUGGAGAGGGCAGAGCAGUGGCCUGAUACCGCCUUGUCAUUGAGUUGGUUCUGUCGUUCUAGUUGAGGGUGGUGGCUGAGAUUUUUGGAGCCAUUCUUUGUUUGAAUGCAAUUGGUAAUCCAGGCUAGUGUUCUGGGACUGGGGUGGUGAGAGGUGUUUGUCACGUGCUUUUAUAUAUAGCUCGACCCCUUGGGGAGUACGUGUGUAUUUGGGUAUGUGUGUUUCCUUAAAGUAUUUAUUAAAUAUGCUUUCCCUUGCUGUAAGGGUAUGAUGGGUUCUUUUUUAAACAGAAGCUGUGAUUCAGUUGGAAUCCACAUUUGAGAAAUAAACAGUUUAACCUUCUGCCUUAUAAUACGUAACUGUUCUAAUCCUGUGGAAUCUUAUGGAGAAUGCAAAAACAACAACCUUUUAGUAUUUGCCACAGAAGGGUGGUGUUGCCCUUCUGACUUGAUGGGCAGGUCUUUUCGAGCCAGUAUUUAACAAUGUUUUUAAUCUAUAAGGUUUUUUUUUUUAAUGUUUUGUUAUGUUUAUUUUUCAUGUUGGAACAAUCUCUUUGGAAAUGCCUCUUGUGGCUCUUAAAAUUAAAGCCUUUCUUUCCAGGGUCCAUUGCAGUGGGUUUUGAUGUGAUGUUAAUAUGGGCAGUGUAUUUGUGUCAGAGGCGCAAGCGUAAAAACCCACAGACCGCCUCUUUGAUUCAGGUCUGCACCAGGUGAGCCGUACUGGCUGAAUCGGUGAAAACCGUGGGCCUUGGAGUUUCUAACCUUCCACAGUGAAUCUGGUUUGAACGACUCCGCAGUGAAAGGGGAUCAAGUGAUGCUGAUUGUACCUAAGCGCCCACGUAUAUUAAGGGAGGUGGGACCUCCUGAAUCAUAACUGUCGCUCUGCAAGUUCGUUACCCUGAAUGUCCUUCCAGAGUCAGUCGGGAGUGACAAGGGGUACCUUUGGGAAAUGGAGUAGUGCAGGGUUAGCUGUGGUGACCAAGGGGUAUUCCAGAGGUGGCUGUUUUAUUGGCCAGUAAGGAAGCCAGUUGGUCCCAGAGUGUCAGAGCCAGGCCAUUCUCUCCUCCGAACAGCAGUGAUUCUGUUCAGCUUUCCUCACAGGAGCCGAUGUUAGUGUGGUUUAAAACGCUGCCUUCUAGGAGAACCUGUGGUCCUUGGGACUGCACCCCACCAUGACUCGCUGUGUGGCCAUGCGUAGCUGGGGAAGCCCGCUGUGGGAAUGGCUUGCACAGAUGUUGGAAACCGACAGCUCCCAUUCUGGGGACAGGAUUUCUCUUUUUCUUUUUAGGGCCACACCUCAUUCUGAAGUCUUCUCUAAGUGAACUCCUUUCCCUAGGAGAGGGCCUCAUUCCUGCCCUCCUCCAUCUGGAAGCCUUGGUACGGAAGACAGGACCUUGAUCCAAACUUUGAUACCAGCAAUUGGCAGGAUUGGGGGAAGAACUGGGCUUGUAAGAUGCAUAAGCUUUUCAGACCAGCAGUAAUUAAUGCAGUCUUAAACUCACUAUAGCAGAGCUGGCUUUCCUAGGCAGUUGCUGAUGCGGUCUUUCCACAGGUGGAGAGUGGCUGGGAGGGCUAGUGAGGAGGUAGAGUGCUUAAUAGCCCACGUGCUUGGGUUACCAUGGAAACGGGAGUGUUCGAGGCCCCAGCAGAUGCUGAAGAGCCAUUGAGCACUCCCCCUGAUGUGUUUGGGGACCAGCAGAACGGGUUGGGAAAAACACUCCUGUCCCAGGGUCCUUUCUUCAUAGCAAGGGUCGCCUUUGCACUAUCCCUGAGCUUGCUCGACAAAAGAAACAGGUUUCUUAACUGUUCUACCAUUCGUUAUUUUUCAUUCUUAUUUGGCUGUAUCUUAUCUAUAUAUAUGUAACUGUAAAGAAACAUUAUAUGCAUUGUUUUCCUUUUAUAUUCAUGUAAUAUUCUGAAAUUAAAUUUCUUUUGUUUCAUAUCUA